GAAUUCCCAGUGUAAGAGGUGAANUUUCGUNGNUAUUNGGAGGAAUANCAGUNGCGAAGGGCGACCAUCUGGACGGGAUACUGACGCUGAGGCGCGAAAGCGUGGGUAGCAAACAGGAUUAGAUACCCUGGUAGUCCACGCCGUAAACGAUGGAUACCAGUUGUUGUGGGUAUUGACCCCUACAGUGACGCAGCUAACGCAAUAAGUAUCCCGCCUGGGAAGUACGGCCGCAAGGCUA
rnacentral:rRNA from 1 species